GUGACCUGCGGAAGGAUCAUUGUCGAAUCCUACAAAAGCAAAUGACCAGUGAACGUGUUUUCAACUGGAGAGGUAGGCAGCUAGGUUCAACCUUGUUGCUUGUCUCUCCUUCGGUCGAUUGGUGCCUUGCACGGUUCCCGGUCGUUCCGUAUAACAAAACAAAAAAUCGGCGUGGGAAGCGCCAAGGACUACGCUAAAGGAAUGCCUCUCGGCGGUCUAGUCGUUCGCGACCAUGGGUCGUCGGGGUCAAGGCUCCAUUUAAAUCUAAAACGACUCUCGGCAACGGAUAUCUAGGCUCUCGCAUCGAUGAAGAACGUAGCAAACUGCGAUACUUGGUGUGAAUUGCAGAAUCCCGUGAACCAUCGAGUCUUUGAACGCAAGUUGCGCCUGAAGCCACUAGGUUGAGGGCACGUCUGCCUGGGCGUCACGCAAUGCGUCGCCCCCUCGCAGCUCGCCCCGCACGGGACGAGUGUUGCUAAUGGGGGCGGAGAAUGGCCUCCCGUACAUAGUCGCGGCUGGCCUAAAUUUGAAGUCCCUCGUUGUGGGUGUCACGAUAAGUGGUGGUUGAAAAGCUCAAGCGAGUCGUGCGCACCAUGCAAUUGAGGUGACGUUUUGGACCCUAAGGCGAUCUUGUUCCCAAUGGAGGAGUGUUCGUCACGAUCGCGACCCCAGGUCAGG
rnacentral:rRNA from 1 species